UACGUAGGGUCCAAGCGUUAUCCGGAAUCACUGGGCGUAAAGCGUGCGUAGGCGGCGUGUUAAGUGUGAUGUUAAAUCGUGUGGCUCAACCAUAUCGAUGCAUCGCAUACUGGCAUGCUAGAGGAAGGCAGAGGCAAGUGGAAUUAGUAGUGUAGCAGUGAAAUGCGUAGAGAUGUGGAGGAACACCGAUGGCGAAGGCAGCCCCCUGGGCCGAUACUGACGCUCAGGCACGAAAGCGUGGGGAGCAAACAGG
rnacentral:rRNA from 1 species